rnacentral:rRNA from 1 species
GUAGGUGGCAAGCGUUGUCCGGAAUUAUUGGGCGUAAAGCGCGCGCAGGCGGUUCUUUAAGUCUGACGUGAAAGCCCACGGCUCAACCGUGGAGGGUCAUUGGAAACUGGAGAACUUGAGUACAGAAGAGGAAAGCGGAAUUCCACGUGUAGCGGUGAAAUGCGUAGAGAUGUGGAGGAACACCAGUGGCGAAGGCGGCUUUCUGGUCUGUAACUGGCGCUGAGGCGCGAAAGCGUGGGGAGCAAACAGGAUUAGAUACCCUGGUAGUCCACGCCGUAAACGAUGAGUGCUAAGUGUUAGGGGGUUUCCGCCCCUUAGUGCUGCAGCUAACGCAUUAAGCACUCCGCCUGGGGAGUACGGCCGCAAAGGCUG